GGAAAAGUUGUUUUUGUUUGUAGCUGAUUUGUUUUUCAAAGUCAGAAAAGUUUUAUUCCAUUCAGAUAUUUUGGACGGAUAUUCUAGAUAAAAGGGACCUGUUUCAUCGUUUCGUGAAGUCCUAUUUAAGGGUGAUGACACAAAUUUCACCAAACACUGCUCAGAUUACACAGUUCCAUUGAAAAAUGAAACUGGAUUUUCCCCAUUUGUGUUAAGAUCGAGCACCUCUGCUAAACAUUAUGCUACGGUUAAUGCGAGAAUGUUCACAGUUCUUAGCAGAUUUGUGUAGUUUAUUGUAUAAAUAAUAAAACAAUGUCCCUCCAGUUUAGAAUUUAUUGACCGUUGGGAUUAUGCACGUCGUCAUGAUGAA